rnacentral:ncRNA from 2 species
UCUUCAUCAACCGAUAGAGGUUUUACUUAACUGUAGAUUAAUAGGGAAUCGUGUGUAAAUCACGAACUGUCGCGCAACUGUAAGUAACACAAAAAGUUUUUAUCUGAAAUAAGAUCCACUGUUUGCUUUGCAAAUGGGAAGGACGGUAAAAAUGUUACAAGUCAGGAGACCUGCCUUUAUUGAAUUGACAAU